GCUCGGUUAGCUCAGCUGGUUAGAGCGUCGUACUAAUAUCUCCCUUGGGAAAUAUCAAGUGAAUGCGAAGGUCAUGAGUUCAAUCCUCAUACUGAGCA